UACAGAGGGUGCAAGCGUUGUUCGGAAUUAUUGGGCGUAAAGCGCGUGUAGGCGGCUUUGCAAGUCGGGUGUGAAAGCCCAGAGCUCAACUCUGGAAUUGCCUUUGAGACUGUGAGGCUUGAGUGCGGGAGAGGUGAGUGGAAUUCCCAGUGUAGAGGUGAAAUUCGUAGAUAUUGGGAAGAACACCGGUGGCGAAGGCGGCUCACUGGCCCGAAACUGACGCUCAUGCACGACAGCGUGGGGAUCAAACAGG
rnacentral:rRNA from 1 species